UUGUCUAAUCUAAUUUGGUGGAUCUAGAAACAUAUUUCAAAUUGAAUUAUUGACUUCAAAUCAUGAGAACUCAUGAGGCAUAAUAGUCACUCAUUGUGGAUUUAGAAUAUUUCAAGAUCUUCAAGUGACCUUCAAUUGAUUCGUUGUGACAAUAUUUCAAGAUCUUUAAAGUGAUAUAAGAGGUUACUAAUACUACAAUUCCUCCUUUUAUAUAGC
rnacentral:lncRNA from 1 species